GAUAGGCAAGUUGAGCUAUGAUUAUCUUUGCUGCCGUUCUAUAGCAUAUCUGUACCAUGUUGUUUUCUACGAUUGUGCUACUUUUCCCCGAAUGUCGUUUCUCCGAACGCCAGUUCCCCGAAUGGCCCGUUUCCCCGAAAAUUACAUUCUUGAUAGAAAUGAUCAUUUACAAAUGGCACUAGGUUGUUCAAAAAGUUAUUUGACCAUAAUUUAACAAUAGGAGACAGUCAGUGAUGUACUAAAUUUGAAGUAAUGAGCUGAAUUUUGUAUUUUUUUUUUGUAAUUUGUGUUUCAAUUUAGAAACUAAAUAAAACAAAUUAAAUCAACAAAACUUAGCAAUUUAACAAAUGACUAUCAGAAGGCCGGCUCCAGAGGCACGUUAUCCUCCAUUUGGGACUUUUAUUCUAUAAAACAUUUGAAGGAAGACAAUGUUGGUUUCUGUUUCACAUCGUUUGGCAGAUCAUUUGGCUCCGUACACUCGCACACUCUUCCCACUGGUGGUAGUAUGCCGGGGAACGAUGAAACAACGGGUUCACUGCUGUUGUCCUCGUUGUAGAUGUUCCUCGACGUAAUCCGGUAGAUUCCCGUAGUACGCCUGUCUCAUAAAGCAGUAUAUUCUGAGGCAAUCGUUGGAUGGCAAGUCGACUCACAGAAUUGAGUUCCGAACGGUUGCAGUUAUUUCUCGCUGGCGAAGGUUAUACACAAAACGUAUUGCAGAUCGGAAGCUUCUGUGAAGUCGCUCUUCUAGAGCUACAGAUAGUCCAGGGUAGUAUUAUAUGAAAAUGGGCAUCACUACCGCUUGCACGAGCUUUCGUAGAGUGGCUAAUGAGAGCACCGAGGCGAACCGACGAAAUGUACGUAACACAUUGUACGUUCUUAGGACUACCGUGCCAUGCCCUAAUACUGUGUAUUUGACAAAAAACUCAAAUAUUUUACUAAGUGUAUUAUUUUUUUAACUGAGUAACUAGUUCAAUCAUAAGCAUAUCAAACCUUCUCAAGUUAGACGUGAUAAAUUUAGCACCUAUUUACAAAAAACAAGCAAUUGAAAAUAUUUACACAAUGUGAGUACAAAGUAACAAUACACGAUAUUAGGACAUGGUUUCUUUCGUGUUCCAAAUACCGUGUCUCGGCUAAAAUUUGCAAACUGAAAAUAUUAUUAGUACUUUUUACUUUAUGAAUCAAUUGCACAAACCUCUAGGCAACGUUUGACGCACAGGUUCUUUUAAGUAUGAACUUAGUAUGAUUGAUAUAGUGAUGAUUCAAAGGACCACUAAUGUAUGUGGGUCACAUACACGGUAUUAGGAACAAAGCUAUGCUAUACAAUUUUGAUUUUAACAAUGGAUAGAACAUUUCGAAUUCCAUUAAUCAUAUUUAUUAUACAUAAUAUACACAAUAAGCAAUACUAUAGCGUUUGAAAAAUCAAGAAACAUGGAUUAUUGAUUUUUACAGGGCUCUUUGAAGUGAAAAGCAUCCUUAAGGUCACGGAAUUAGGGCAUGGCACGGUACAUCGUUCACUUGAUGAGACCAAGAUAGACAGCGUUCCAGUUUAAGGCCAAGGUUUGUUACUGCGGUGGUUAACGGCACAAUUUCUCCACAAAAGAUUAUGUUGGGCUGUGGCAUAAUUGGUCUCGACUUUUUGUCUGCUGUGGAUUGGGGGCUAAUCGGUUUGCAUCGGCCCAGCGAGAUAUUGCUUCAAGAUCAAUGUUGAUCUCUCGUACAAGUAUCUCGAUUUCGGAGGCUGGACCGGAAAUGUAGACUUGCAGGUCAUCGGCAUACAAAUGGUAGUUGCAUUUGAGUGACAAAGGCAGGCUAUUGAUGUACAUACUAAAAAGCAGCGCGCUCAGACUAGAUCCCUGAAGUGUACCAUUAAGGAUAUCCUUCUCACCAGACACCACACUUCCUAGGCGCAUUGACUACUCACAGUAUACCAAGAAUGAUGAAAUCAGGUCGCAUGCAGCCUGAGAGAAGAAGAACUCGCGUCGGAGUUUGUUACUCAAAAUUUCCUGGCUUACGCAGUUGAAAGCGAGAGAAAAGUCCACCAUGACUGUACAGAGAUCGUUUUUAAUCCUUUCUUUCCCACAAGGUUUUUUGACAUUUAAAAAUAGAUAAAAUGGUUUCUAAACAAAUCACUAGAACAAAAGAUGUAUAGUUUUGCUCCAAAAUAUCGUUAGAAAUGAAAAAUUUAAUAUUUGAGGUGGAUCACCUGUGAUCCAUUGGGAAGAUGGAUGCACUGAAGGCACAUAUAUAAAUUUUGUUUUUAAUUUGUUUAUUGUUUUUUUUCAAACUAUAUAUUUAUAAAUCGUCUAUUACACCUUUAAUUUAUCUCGAAAUUCUUAUCUAGCCCUUCUGUUAAACUUAAUGAAACUUGUCGAACUUCUUGCAGUUAUCAUAAGUAGUUAUUCAGACAUGGUUCUCUUCGAAUCUGGAUUCUCCUCGUACCAUAUAAACCCUCCUGGAUUCAUCUGCGACUUAUUGCCGGCGCUAAAUAGAUUACAUUAUAUGAAAUAAUGACAUUUUUACAUGAAACACUGUUAAUAAUGGCAAAUGUCUUAGAUGUAAACAAACAUUUUAACAAGGAACAGGUUAGAUCAGGAAGGAUAAAAAUGUCGUUAUGUUCCCAAUGGAUCACUGAUGAUCCUAAUGUUUGUUCAUAAAAUUAGUGUUUUAUCGUCAACUUGUUUGUGAAACGGUAUUUUAUUGUGCUAAUAUACAUACUGUAGGGCAUGCUAGUAUUUUUUUCCGCUGAAAAUAAUGUUCAUGUUUGGGAAUAUUGAAUAUUCAAAUAUUGUUUGAAUUAAAAUAAAAAAAAUACCGACUUUCGCUAAAUCAUUUAGCUCUAGAACAAAAACGAGCAGGAAGAUUUUCACCAAACUUGGCAUAAUAGUUCAAUAAACAUAUACAAACAUCUGACGAAAAAAUGGAAAUGAUCUAACUUAUACUGUGUUUGUAUGAACAGUGCAAAUUAGUGGAUCACCUGUGCUACCAUGGGAAAGAGAGGGUUAAGAUUCAUUUACACGUCGUGUACAACUUUGGUGAGGGCAGUCGUUGUACUAUACCUUUUCCUGUAACCUGAUUGGAAUCUCGCCAGUUAGGGGGGCAGUGGAAUUGUCGAGAUGUUCUGUUAUUUGCGACAACAGUAUUUUCUUGAACACUUUGGAAAUCGCAGGUAGAACACUGAUAGGACGAAAUUUUUUGGGUAGAGUACACUCUAAAGAAUUUUCACGUCCGAUUUACGUGAAAUAUCACGUAGCUCAUCCUUAUUCUCAAAACCUCAGAAGUUACGUGAAGUUAGUAACCUUCACUCAAUAACCACGUCGUAUGCACCACCCUGUUUGGUGCAAUCCACCUUAUUUUCACGUUAAUCGUUUCAAUGCGUUUGUGUUAGUGUACUUUCGACUUGGAAGUUUCCGCGAAAGGAAAGUUACGUGACUUUCAGGUGUGAAAAUAAAUGCAGUAUGGCGUCGAGAAGUAAGUUGGUGCAAGAAAUGCUUGCGGAUUUAGAGCUUCCGAGCAAGUUGCUCCAAGUAUUGAAAAUUUAAGAAGCUGGACCGUCUUCUGACGGUAACGGAGGACCAGUUCAGCGAAGGCUUGGAACAACUGGACGACUAAGAUUUUGCGUCAAAAUCCUUAGAUUUGGAAUCAAGUUUGGAAUUAUCCAAUCUUGGAGAGGACCCGAAAGGUAUAUAUACACAUCAUGAUUGUCCCAGAUGUUUUCUAAUACAUUUGUGUUUCCUUUUUCCUCAGAAAGCAACAGUGCGAUCACUGCAUUUAAUCGACCAAGCGGAUAUCCCGAAGCUACU